AUUGAACGCUGGCGGCAGGCCUAACACAUGCAAGUCGAACGAGUGGCGGACGGGUGAGUAAUGUCUGGGAAACUGCCUGAUGGAGGGGGAUAACUACUGGAAACGGUAGCUAAUACCGCAUACAAUCAGAUGUGCCCAGAUGGGAUUAGCUAGUUGGUGGGGUAAAGGCUCACCAAGGCGCCGAUCCCUAGCUGGUCUUAGCGGAUGACCAGCCACACUGGAACUGAGACACGGUCCAGACUCCUACGGGAGGCAGUAGUUGGGAACAUUGCACAAUGGGCGCAAGCCUGAUGCAGCCAUGCCGCGUAUAUGAAGAAGGCCUUCGGGUUGUAAAGUACUUUCAGCGGGGAUGCGUUACCCGCAGAAGAAGCACCGGCUAACUCCGGGCCAGCAGCCGCGGUAAUUC
rnacentral:rRNA from 1 species